rnacentral:rRNA from 1 species
UACAGAGGUGUCAAGCGUUGCUCGGUGUCACUGGGCUUAAAGGGCGCGUAGGCUGUGCAGUACGGCUCGGGUGAAAUCCCUCGGCCCAACCGAGGAACCGCCCGGGCGACGGCUGUGCUGGACUGCAUCAGGGGCGGAUGGAACUCCCGGUGGAGCGGUGAAAUGCGUAGAUAUCGGGAGGAACGCCGGUGGCGAAAGCGAUCCGCUGGGGUGCAUGUGACGCUGAGGCGCGAAAGCCAGGGGAGCAAACGGG